UAUUAUACACUAUACAAAAAGAAUGAGGAGCAAGAAUCCCUGAAACACCGGGAACAAAUCCCCUCAAAACUAGUACCCCCUCUGGAGCAAUAGAAGUAUAUUUACCCACUAACCGUGUAUAACACAAAGUGAAAAAAUAAUAGAAAUAUAUUGAAAAACAUUAGAAGUCCCAUAUAUAAUAUCUAUAAUACACCAAACUGCUACAAACUAGGAAUAAAGGGACAUAGAGGAUCAGCCUGAAGUGCACAUAACUGAAU